CCUUCCUUAUUCCCUCAGCAGGAGACCUGACUGGGACCUGGGUUUCCCCUCAUUACUUGCCUCCCCAGUCAGGAGUCCAAGCUCAACAGCCUUGGGCUCUAGAGACUCCCAUUGUCCCAGAGAGACUAAGUUGGGCUGAGGCCCGUAGUGCAUCUUCUCUCUGGGAUGAAUUUACUAUUCUUCGAUCCCAGCUUCGAUCCCAGGCUCAGGUGAGGCAUGGAAUCCUAGGUGAGUAUGUUUGGGGUUUGCGUGAGAUGAGGAUACCAGGGGUUGGGGGAACCCCUUGCAUAAUAGAUCGUGUGGUUUUUCUGCCUGGGUAGGUGACUGAGGCACUAAGGCAGGCUAUGCAGGGCCUGCUGGAAGAGCGAGAGCAGCAGAAGUACCAGAUCUCUGCCCUAGAAGCAUCACUAAGGUUGCUGCAGGGGGGCCCAGAGCAAAGGGUCCUUCUCCUGGAGCAACGCCUGGAGGGGCUGAGAAGGGAACUGCAGGGCCUUCGAAGCUAGGUACAGGAACAGGCGUGAGCCCAAAUACAAACAGGACCACAAAAGUGCAGUGCUACCAGUGGCCUUCACCAAGAGCUGCAGAAUGAGCUGCAACUGCUGUGGAAGGAGUCAGAGAUUCUUUGGGAGGAAUUGAAGUUGCUGCAGGACCAGCUGAGCCAGCACCAGGAGCUGCUGCUGAAACAGAUGACUGAGGGGCGGCAAGCUCAGGCCCACAGCUGGAAGAUCUCCAGAGGCAUACCCUUUCUAACCUGCAGCCCAGCAGCUUUCAGCUCCAGGCCCAGAGCCCUAUACUUUAAGGGCCCCAAGAUGCUCCUGAGUGACUGUAAGGACUUGUAAGAGCAGUAGGAUGAUGUCUUCUUUGCUCACCUUCCCUUCCAAGGUCCUGUUUCUGGGUCCCCUUCCCCUCCCCUCUUGAUCUAGCUGGUGUUUGCCCUCCCUACUGAGGUUUGUCACUGCCUGUCCAGCCUUACCC